ensembl:lncRNA
CUUACACCGGACGCUCUGCUUGACGAUCUUGUCUUGCUGGUCUUCAACGGUGAAGUGACUUCAACGUAUCGAGACGCUUGUAUUGGUGCAUUCGGUCUGUAUAUAUAGGCACCGUGAGCCACCGCGAGUCAUCGCGUGCACGCACGCAAACGGGAAACGAUACCCUCAUAUAAUGUCGCUCAUCUGUGACUUCUGCAGCUUUUCCCAGCGCCGCACGUGGAACAAGCCGAGGCGGAGGCGAGCGACCACGAUUCCUCAAAUGUCUCCCCGCGAUCCCGCGAGGAACCUGCUGAUCACCUGAUCCAAAUGAGGCGGGGAAGGGAAACUCCUUGCCUUGAUCCGUGCGCGAGGAAAACAAAACCCCCUCAAAAAAACAGGAGGACUCGUAGAACCGCGGCAGUUGCGCUGCUAAUCUUGCGUAGCCGCGUCUCUGGCUUUCGCAUUACAGCGUCGGAUAAACAAGAACAAAAAGCGAGAGAAGGGAAAGGCCGGUAAUGGAGAGGAAGAAAGAAGAAGACGAGCUGACCUUCG